UGCGUAGGCGGAAUAUUAAGUCAGUGGUGAAAUCCUGCGGCUCAACCGUAGAACUGCCAUUGAUACUGAUACUCUUGAAUGUAGUUGAGGUAGGCGGAAUGUGUAAUGUAGCGGUGAAAUGCUUAGAUAUUACACAGAACACCGAUUGCGAAGGCAGCUUACUAAACUAUGAUUGACGCUGAGGCACGAAAGCGUGGGGAGCGAACAGGAUUAGAUACCCUGGUAGUCC
rnacentral:rRNA from 1 species